GACGAACGCUGGCGGCGUGCUUAACACAUGCAAGUCGAACGGAAAGGCCUUUUCGGCGGUACUCGAGUGGCGAACGGGUGAGUAACACGUGGGUGAUCUGCCCUGCACUCUGGGAUAAGCCUGGGAAACUGGGUCUAAUACCGGAUAGGACCGCACUUUAGUGUGUGUGGUGGAAAGUUUUUUCGGUGUAGGAUGAGCCCGCGGCCUAUCAGCUUGUUGGUGGGGUAAUGGCCUACCAAGGCGGCGACGGGUAGCCGGACUGAGAGGUUGGUCGGCCACAUUGGGACUGAGAUACGGCCCAGACUCCUACGGGAGGCAGCAGUGGGGAAUAGUGCACAAUGGGCGCAAGCCUGAUGCAGCGACGCCGCGUGGGGGAGGACGGCCUUCGGGUUGUAAACUCCUUUCGCCAGGGACGAAGCGUUUUGUGACGGUACCUGGAGAAGAAGCACCGGCUAACUACGUG
rnacentral:rRNA from 1 species